rnacentral:rRNA from 2 species
AAUACCCCCGGGGGAAGGGCGGCCCCCUUGGCCAAAGACUGAUGCUCAGGUGAGAAAGCGUGGGGAGCAAACAGGGAUUAGAUACCCUGGUAGUCCACGCCGUAAACGAUGUCGACUUGGAGGUUGCGCCCUUGAGGCGUGGCUUCCGGAGCUAACGCGUUAAGUCGACCGCCUGGGGAGUACGGCCGCAAGGUUAAAACUCAAAUGAAUUGACGGGGGCCCGCACAAGCGGUGGAGCAUGUGGUCUAAUUCGAUGCAACGCGAAGAACCUUACCUACUCUUGACAUCCAGAGAACUUAGCAGAGAUGGUUUGGUGCCUUCGGGAACUCUGAGACAGGUGCUGCAUGGCUGUCGUCAGCUCGUGUUGUGAAAUGUUGGGUUAAGUCCCGCAACGAGCGCAACCCUUAUCCUUUGUUGCCAGCGGUCCGGCCGGGAACUCAAAGGAGACUGCCAGUGAUAAACUGGAGGAAGGUGGGGAUGACGUCAAGUCAUCAUGGCCCUUACGAGUAGGGCUACACACGUGCUACAAUGGCGCAUACAAAGAGAAGCGAACUCGCGAGAGCAAGCGGACCUCAUAAAGUGCGUCGUAGUCCGGAUUGGAGUCUGCAACUCGACUCCAUGAAGUCGGAAUCGCUAGUAAUCGUAGAUCAGAAUGCUACGGUGAAUACGUUCCCGGGCCUUGUACACACCGCCCGUCACACCAUGGGAGUGGGUUGCAAAAGAAGUAGGUAGCUUAACCUUCGGGAGGGCGCUACCCCACUUGUGAUUC